GAUGAACGCUAGCGGGAGGCCUAACACAUGCAAGCCGAGCGGUAGAGAUCUUUCGGGAUCUUGAGAGCGGCGUACGGGUGCGGAACACGUGUGCAACCUGCCUUUAUCAGGGGGAUAGCCUUUCGAAAGGAAGAUUAAUACCCCAUAAUAUUUGGAAUGGCAUCAUUUUAAAUUGAAAACUCCGGUGGAUAGAGAUGGGCACGGGCAAGAUUAGAUAGUUGGUAGGGUAACGGCCUACCAAGUCUGCGAUCGUUAGUGGGCCUGAGAGGGUGAUCCCCCACACUGGUACUGAGACACGGACCAGACUCCUACGGGAGGCAGCAGUGAGGAAUAUUGGACAAUGGGUGCGAGCCUGAUCCAGCCAUCCCGCGUGAAGGAUGACGGCCCUAUGGGUUGUAAACUUCUUUUGCAUAGGGAUAAACCUAGAUACGUGUAUCUAGCUGAAGGUACUAUACGAAUAAGCACCGGCUAACUCCGUGCCAGCCGCCGCGGUAA
rnacentral:rRNA from 1 species